UCCUGGCUGUAAACGCUGCAGGUUUGGUGUUGGAGAUCCCACGAGGGUGUCCAGUGCCGGAGAGAAGUUGUUAAACCUGCCGCCUGGGGAGUAUGGCCGCAAGGCUGAAACUUAAAGGAAUUGGCGGGGGAGCACCGCAACGGGAGGAGCGUGCGGUUUAAUUGGAUUCAACGCCGGAAAACUCACCGGGGGCGACUGUUACAUGAAGGCCAGUUCAAAGACUUUGCCUGAUUUUCAGAGAGGUGGUGCAUGGCCGUCGUCAGUUCGUACCGCAAGGCGUUCUGUUAAGUCAGAUAACGAACGAGACCCCUUUCCUUAUUUGCCAGGGCUUCCUUAGGG
rnacentral:rRNA from 1 species